UAACCUAUACUGCAAGGUAUAGCUGAACAUCCAGAAGUCAGUUCAAGUCAUAGUACCAUUGGAACCUUUUCGAAAGAUAAGUCGAGGGAAGGAC
rnacentral:ncRNA from 1 species